AACCCAUGGUGAGGGCAUCUUCUCAAGUUGUAUCUCUCCCAUGCAUCGUAUAGUGUUUCUAAAUCCAUCUGCACAAAAGAAGAGAUAUCAUUACGUAAUUU
rfam:Gossypium hirsutum cultivar TM-1 chromosome 1, whole genome shotgun sequence